GAUGUCGGUUAGGAUUUCUUUUUUUUAUAUGUCCGUGUGUGUAACUGUUGCCUUUUAGCCUGUUGUGUUCCUGAGCAGCAAGAAGAGGCGGCUGUGGUGACCCGCCCGAUGCGGAAGGCUUCUGGGCCCUGUCGGCGGGGGCGCACCUCUCUGGCUGACUGGUUGACCAGGCUUUGACCAGGUGGCCAGGGAGGCGCAUCCUCGUUGGGCGGGGUCUGGGGGCCCUCCGUCUUGGGGAGGUCGCUGCAGCAGGAGGAGGUAACUACUGCUGGUUUUGUAAGGCAUUGUGGUUGAGAGCACCUUGCAGCUGUAACGCGAAUUUCGUUCCGUAAUAAACAAUGUACCGCCAUGCUGCCUGUCCUUCCUCCCUCCCAGCACUGUGUACGUCUGUGUGUGUGUGUUGCUUAAUUCUCCCUCACUGCACUGUGCGUACGUCUGUGUGUGUGUGUUGCUCUGUCUCUGUUUCUCUCUCUCUCUCUCUCUCUCAAUCCCUCUCUCUGUCUCUCUCUGUCUGUCUCUCUAUCUCUCAAUCUCUCUCUGUGUCUUUCUCUCUCUCUCUAGUUAGUAAAGAAAAGGUAACGUUUGCCAUGGAAGAGUCUACAGUGUACAUCCCAACCCUCUACGGCCGUUGCUGCUCCACCCGGGCAUUACCACAUCCACCCGGGUCUACAAGAAACCUCCACGGCCGAGCUUCAACCACAGAACACACCGCUACCGUUGAUGAGGUUCCACGCCCCGGACUACCGCCAUGUUAGCCUCGAUAAUAGUCCUCGGCGCACUUAUUCUGAGACGUCCUGACUGGAGAGCUACACAACACUGGUCAUCCGCUGAGUGGUUGAAUUCCUGGUCUACCGGCCCCUGGAGGAGUGGUCGAUUUCCUGGUCUACCGUGGAUAUGAGUGGUUGAUUGCCUGGUCUACCCCUGGAUGACGCAGCUGUUCCUAUGCAGGGGAGGACUCACACAAGCAAUAAGGUAAGGUUUUAAUGGCUGGGUUUACAAGAGGUUUUAAUUGCUGGGUUUACAAGAGGUUUUAAUGGCUGGGUUUACAAGAGGUUUUAAUGGCUGGGUUUACAAGAGGUUUUAAUGGCUGGGUUUACAAGAGGUUUUAAUAGCUGGGUUUACAAGAGGUUUUAAUGGCUGGGUUUACAAGAGGUUUUAAUGGCUGGGUUUACAAGAGGUUUUAAUAGCUGGGUUUACAAGAGGUUUUAAUAGCUGGGUUUACAAGAGGUUUUAAUAGCUGGGUUUACAAGAGGUUUUAAUAGCUGGGUUUACAAGAGGUUUUAAUAGCUGGGUUUACAAGAGGUUUUAAUAGCUGGGUUUACAAGAGGUUUUAAUAGCUGGGUUUACAAGAGGUUUUAAUAGCUGGGUUUACAAGAGGUUUUAAUAGCUGGGUUUACAAGAGGUUUUAAUAGCUGGGUUCAAGAGAGGUUUUAAUGGCUGGGUUUACAAGAGGUUUUAAUGGCUGGGUUUACAAGAGGUUUUAAUAGCUGGGUUUACAAGAGGUUUUAAUAGCUGGGUUUACAAGAGGUUUUAAUGGCUGGGUUUACAAGAGGUUUUAAUAGCUGGGUUUACAAGAGGUUUUAAUGGUACAUAUCUACUGAAUGUUGCUGUGUUAUGUAUCUUGACAUGCUCUCAGGGUAAGGAGUGUUCUGAUAUGGUGCCUUCCCCCCCUCCCCCAGCACCUGUCGGACCUGGAGACUCCCCCCUGAGCCUGACGGUGGAGCUGUGGGCCCUGCACCAGACCCCCACACCCCCCCACACCACCCACAGCAGGGGCAGGGUGUUGAGACUCCCCCCACAGGCUAAGACAGGGAGGGACUUGAAGAUCCGGGUUUUUGUCAUCUGCACAGGAAUUGACAUAUAGUAUUUGGGAGCAGCGAGUAGCGGGCUUUUUUAAUAGAGUUUCCUUUUUUGUGUGUGCCCUUGAGCUGUCUCCUUUGUUGUAGAAAAAAAAUACUUGACAAGGCUUUCAUAGGUGUUUGGGGCAUUUCCAUGGGUAGUUUAAUGACCCUGGUGGUAGUCUGACCCUUCCUCUGUGCAAUGAACUUGAAAAAAACGCUCAUAAAAAUGCAGAUAUUAACCCAGUAGCAGCGGGGAUCAUGUUUCUUAAUGGUCCCUCCAAGCCAGAAAAAUGAGAAAAAUUCACCCAUCACACAAACCAUUUCAUAUAUAUCAAAGCAUUUGCGAUCAGAUUAUGUAUCUUCUAUUUUUGGGGUUUAUAUCAUGGCUCACAACCAAGAGAGCCCGGGCAAAGUGGAAAAAUUUGGGUAGCUUUUCCGAUACCCUACGCCCCUGUCCACCCAGCAGUGAUUGGGUACCAGGUAUUAAUCGGGGGUUGUGUCCCGUCUCCUGGGGUCUGUUCCCUUCUCCUAUAAUUCCUUCCCCUUCUGUCUCUCUCUGGCAUAUGAUCACCGAUGUUGCGCUGCCCACUAAACAAAACUUUCCAACUUUCCAACAGUUGAAUUACAGUUUGAUCCAAGUGUUGUCCCUGUGGCUCACCCUCCUAGAGAAAUACCUGUUGCUCUGAGAGGUAAACUUAAGAAGGAAUAGACCAUAUGGAAAGAUUAGGUAUCAUUAUUGAAGAAAAUACACC